rnacentral:rRNA from 2 species
ACGCUGGCGGCGUGCCUAAUACAUGCAAGUCGAGCGGACUUGAUGGAGUGCUUGCACUCCUGAUGGUUAGCGGCGGACGGGUGAGUAACACGUAGGCAACCUGCCCUCAAGACUGGGAUAACUACCGGAAACGGUAGCUAAUACCGGAUAAUUUAUUUCACAGCAUUGUGGAAUAAUGAAAGACGGAGCAAUCUGUCACUUGGGGAUGGGCCUGCGGCGCAUUAGCUAGUUGGUGGGGUAAUGGCUCACCAAGGCGACGAUGCGUAGCCGACCUGAGAGGGUGAACGGCCACACUGGGACUGAGACACGGCCCAGACUCCUACGGGAGGCAGCAGUAGGGAAUCUUCCGCAAUGGGCGAAAGCCUGACGGAGCAACGCCGCGUGAGUGAUGAAGGUUUUCGGAUCGUAAAGCUCUGUUGCCAAGGAAGAACGUCUUCUAGAGUAACUGCUAGGAGAGUGACGGUACUUGAGAAGAAAGCCCCGGCUAACUACGUGCCAGCAGCCGCGGUAAUACGUAGGGGGCAAGCGUUGUCCGGAAUUAUUGGGCGUAAAGCGCGCGCAGGCGGUUCUUUAAGUCUGGUGUUUAAACCCGAGGCUCAACUUCGGGUCGCACUGGAAACUGGGGGACUUGAGUGCAGAAGAGGAGAGUGGAAUUCCACGUGUAGCGGUGAAAUGCGUAGAUAUGUGGAGGAACACCAGUGGCGAAGGCGACUCUCUGGGCUGUAAC